GACGAACGCUGGCGGCGUGCUUAACACAUGCAAGUCGAACGGAAAGGCCCUGCUUUUGUGGGGUGCUCGAGUGGCGAACGGGUGAGUAACACGUGAGUAACCUGCCCUUGACUUUGGGAUAACUUCAGGAAACUGGGGCUAAUACCGGAUAGGAGCUCCUGCUGCAUGGUGGGGGUUGGAAAGUUUCGGCGGUUGGGGUUGGACUCGCGGCUUAUCAGCUUGUUGGUGGGGUAGUGGCUUACCAAGGCUUUGACGGGUAGCCGGCCUGAGAGGGUGACCGGCCACAGUGGGACUGAGGUAGGGCCCAGACGGCUACGGGAGGCAGCGGUGGAGAAUAUUGCACGAUGGGCGGAAGCCUGAUGGAGCAACGCCGGGUGCGGGAUGACGGCCGUCGGGUUGUAAACCGCGUUCGCGUGUGACGAAGCGUGAGUGACGGUAAUUGGUAAAGAAGCACCGGCUAACUACGUG
rnacentral:rRNA from 1 species